rnacentral:lncRNA from 1 species
AUACAGUUAUUAUUCGAUUUUAUUCUUGGCCAUUUACCUCACGCCUUCCCUUCAUUUAGAAUAAGGAAAAGGAUAGAAGUAAAAGCCACCAUCAUAAGCGGCAGAAGCAUAAAGAAAAAGAGGUAGGUCACUUUUUCAUAGUUGUUUGUUUUUUUCAUGUGAAUGAUUUUCUUCAUAUUUAAAGUUUCUAACUCAAGUAAGCUGCCCUGAAAUGUUGACUAUGUUCAUAUUGCUGAAGUUUUUCUCCCUGGGUUCUUAUAUAAAUCUAAGAUUCAUCUACAUAAGACACAUCCAUAUAAUUUUCUACGUUUCUAUCAUCUUCUGCAGCUUGAAAACCCUGAUAUGAUGUCAUUAAUCCUUGUAUACAAUAAAACAAUAAAUUAUUAUUUUUUUUCAAAGUUGCAAACCUUCUUCCAAACACAUAAAGUUUUCUACAGUUUAGUCCAAGAUGUUCAUGAUACUUUCUGCCUAUUUUAUGUAUUGGCUCUUUGAAAUUGGAGCUGGGAUCUGUGGAAUGUUUGGGCGCUUGAUCGACUUGAUUGAUGUUUCUUGGUGGGGUUUGUCCUGGCAAUGGGAGCUUUAUAUAGAAGCAGCAUGAUGAGAGGAGAAGCAGCCCUGUGC